rnacentral:rRNA from 1 species
UACGAAGGGGGCUAGCGUUGUUCGGAAUCACUGGGCGUAAAGGCGCGUAGGCGGCCGAUCAAGUCGGGGGUGAAAGCCUGUGGCUUAACCACAGAAUGGCCUUCGAUACUGUUUGGCUUGAGACCGGAAGAGGUUAGUGGAACUGCGAGUGUAGAGGUGAAAUUCGUAGAUAUUCGCAAGAACACCAGUGGCGAAGGCGGCUGACUGGUCCGGUUCUGACGCUGAGGCGCGAAAGCGUGGGGAGCAAACAGG